AUACGGAGGGUGCGAGCGUUAAUCGGAAUUACUGGGCGUAAACGCGCACGCAGGCGGUCUGUUAAGCUAGAUGUGAAAGCCCCGCGCUCAACGUGGGAGGGUCAUUUAGAACUGGCAGACUAGAGUCUUGGAGAGGGGAGUCGGAAUUCCAGGUGUAGUCGGUGAAAUGCGUAGACGAUCUGGAGGAACAUCAAUGGCGAAGGCAAACUCCCUGGCCAAAGACUGACGCUCAUGUGCGAAAGUGUGGGUAGCGAACAGGAUUAGAUACCCUGGUAGUCCACACCGUAAACGCUGUCUACUAGCUGUUUGUGGAUUUAAUCCGUGAGUAGCGAAGCUAACGCGAUAAGUAGACCGCCUGGGGAGUACGGCCGCAAGGUUAAAAACUCAAAAUGAAUUGACGGGGGGCCCGCACAAGCGGUGGAGCAUGUGGUUUAAAUUCGAUGCAACGCGAAGAACCUUACCUACUCUUGACAUACUAGAAACUUUUCAGAGAUGAAUUGGUAACCUUCGGG
rnacentral:rRNA from 1 species